rnacentral:rRNA from 1 species
GGAUUAGAUACCCUGGUAGUCCACGCCGUAAACGAUGUCUACUAGCCGUUGGGAUCCUUGAGAUCUUAGUGGCGCAGCUAACGCACUAAGUAGACCGCCUGGGGAGUACGGUCGCAAGAUUAAAACUCAAAUGAAUUGACGGGGGCCCGCACAAGCGGUGGAGCAUGUGGUUUAAUUCGAGGCAACGCGAAGAACCUUACCUACUCUUGACAUCCAGAGAACUUUUCAGAGAUGAAUUGGUGCCUUCGGGAACUCUGAGACAGGUGCUGCAUGGCUGUCGUCAGCUCGUGCCG